GAUAUUUGACUGCUUGUAUUUCAACUCACUCAUCCCAGGUGAUUGAUGCAUUCAUGGAGCUACUGAAAGAACAGCAAGACCUAAAUAGGGUCAAAACAUCAACUUACAUAUCAACUCUGUGCUGGGUGCCUGUAAUUAUGUGCGAUUGGAAGAUGCACAGAAGAAAGAAAAGAAAGAUCAAGUGCAAGAUGAAAUUCUUAAUGAAGGGGGAUUUAAUUCAUUAGUCUUAGAUCCGAUACUGAGGAGUUUGGCAAAAAGUGAUUAUGUAUUUUUUCCAGUCGUGGCAAAGUUCCACUUCAGUCCUCUUGUUCGACAUAAAAAUGAGAAGAGGUGGAUACAUUACAACCCCUUCAGGAAGAGAUCAAAACUGCAUUUUGAUCCAUGCUAUGAGACUGCCAAGAAAAUGCACAAAAUUGAUACAACAAUGGUUGCUUUUAACCCAAAAAGGAGCUGAAGAAGCACUAUUGAGAGGAACAGAAGAGAAGAGGAGGGGCAACAAGGAAGACUGGACAGAAGUGCCUCUUCAUGAAGACGAAAUAAGAAUGUUAACCUGGAUGAUCAAUCAAAAUAUCGACUUUAAAUUAGAGAAUGGCGAUAUAUGUCCGCGGAAGAACUUCAAGUCCUUGAAGGAAAGAUCACAGAACACAGAAUAAGGGAAUUCCGGAAAUAUCUGAUUAAACUCUUUUUGGAUCAUGAAAAUAGCUGGAAAGAGAACUCAAGCAUAGGAUGUUAAGGUAGCAGUUCGUGUUAGUGCAAGGGGUAAAGGUUGCUGGGGCUGCAGAGAUGGCUGUUGGAACUGGUACUGGUGUUCCAUGGGUCAUGUGCAAGCAAAUGGAUGCCAGAGGCCCAGACCCACUGAUAAACACCUGGUUUCUGUUGCGAUCUUCAACCAAACCAUGCAAACCCUCACUUUGGACUGAGGCUUGGACUGGCGGGAGAGUUUUACAUAUAUCUUUUGCUCUCAAAACCCUGCAUUGGAUAUUUACAAACUUCAGUGACCUUAAAGGUCUACAGAAUUUGGCCGUCCAUUUUAUUAGCGACCUGUUGAAGAUUUGGUAUUUGGAGUUGCUCGGGUCAAAUAAAACGGAGGCUCCUUCAUAAAUUAUUACUUUAGACUGUUCAAUUUAUAGCGUCCUGUUGAAGAUUUGGCAUUUAGAGUUGCUCGAUUUAUUCAAAACGGAGGCUCCUUCAGAAUUUAUUACUUGUACCAUGGUGGAACAAAUUUUGGAAAAUCUGCGGCAGCCCCGUUUAUUACUACCAUGUAUGACUUAUGACUAUGACGCACCCAUUGACGAUUACAGUGAGAACAUUGAACUCGUAAUGGCAUUGAAUUUGAAAUGUUAUAUUUAAUGAAAAAUUUUCGUAAUAUGUAUGCCUUAAAAUGCAAGUACUUUUAAGUUUGUACUUUGUAGUCUUCUAACUCUUGGCUGCCAUCAGUGGUAUGAUGGCUUGAUCAGGCAACCUAAA